UACGGGGGGGGCAAGCGUUGUUCGGAAUUACUGGGCGUAAAGGGCUCGUAGGCGGCCAACUAAGUCAGACGCGAAAUCCCUCGGCUUAACCGGGGAACUGCGUCUGAUACUGGAUGGCUUGAGGUUGGGAGAGGGAUGCGGAAUUCCAGGUGUAGCGGUGAAAUGCGUAGAUAUCGGGAGGAACACCUGUGGCGAAAGCGGCGCACUGGACCAUAACUGACGCUGAGGCGCGAAAGCUAGGGGAGCAAACAGG
rnacentral:rRNA from 1 species